rnacentral:rRNA from 1 species
CUACGGGCGGCUGCAGUGGGGAAUAUUGGACAAUGGGGGCAACCCUGAUCCAGCCAUGCCGCGUGUGUGAAGAAGGCCUUUUGGUUGUAAAGCACUUUAAGCAGGGAGGAGAGGCUAAUGGUUAAUACCCAUUAGAUUAGACGUUACCUGCAGAAUAAGCACCGGCUAACUCUGUGCCAGCAGCCGCGGUAAUACAGAGGGUGCGAGCGUUAAUCGGAAUUACUGGGCGUAAAGCGAGUGUAGGUGGCUCAUUAAGUCACAUGUGAAAUCCCCGGGCUUAACCUGGGAACUGCAUGUGAUACUGGUGGUGCUAGAAUAUGUGAGAGGGAAGUAGAAUUCCAGGUGUAGCGGUGAAAUGCGUAGAGAUCUGGAGGAAUACCGAUGGCGAAGGCAGCUUCCUGGCAUAAUAUUGACACUGAGAUUCGAAAGCGUGGGUAGCAAACAGGAUUAGAUACCCCAGUAGUC